rnacentral:rRNA from 1 species
GACAGAGGUGCCGAGCGUUAGGCGGAAUCACUGGGCUUAAAGCGUGUGUAGGUGGAUGCCUAAGUACCUUGUGAAAUCCCACGGCUUAACCGUGGAACUGCUCGGUAUACUGGGUGUCUUGAGCCAGCUAGGGGCUACCGGAACAAAUGGUGGAGCGGUGAAAUGCGUAGAUAUCAUUUGGAACGCCAAUGGUGAAAACAGCUCGCUGGGGGUGUGCUGACACUGAGACAGGAAAGCCAGGGGAGCAAACGGG